AUGAACGCUGGCGGCGUGCCUAAUACAUGCAAGUCGAGCGAACAGAUGAGGAGCUUGCUCCUCUGACGUUAGCGGCGGACGGGUGAGUAACCCGUGGAUAACCUACCUAUAAGACUGGGAUAACUUCGGGAAACCGGAGCUAAUACCGGAUAAUAUAUUGAACCGCAUGGUUCAAUAGUGAAAGACGGUUUUGCUGUCACUUAUAGAUGGAUCCGCGCCGCAUUAGCUAGUUGGUAAGGUAACGGCUUACCAAGGCAACGAUGCGUAGCCGACCUGAGAGGGUGAUCGGCCACACUGGAACUGAGACACGGUCCAGACUCCUACGGGAGGCAGCAGUAGGGAAUCUUCCGCAAAGGGCGAAAGCCUGACGGAGCAACGCCGCGUGAGUGAUGAGGGUCUUCGGAUCGUAAAACUCUGUUAUUAGGGAAGAACAAAUGUGUAAGUAACUAUGCACGUCUUGACGGUACCUAAUCAGAAAGCCACGGCUAACUACGUG
rnacentral:rRNA from 1 species